rnacentral:tRNA from 1 species
ACUAUUUUGGCAGAAAAAUGUAAUGGUUUUAGAAGCCAAAAAUAUAUGAGUUUAAUUAUAUAGAUAGUA